rnacentral:tRNA from 1 species
UCCUUGUUAGUCUAGUGGUAAGUAUCCCCGCCUGUCACGUGGGAGACCAGGGUUUGAUUCCCGGACGGGGAG